rnacentral:lncRNA from 1 species
CUAUCUCUCUUCUUGGCAAAUGUGACUCUAGCACCCGAAGAGGACACACUAUGUCAGAUAAAUCCACUAUCCUGCAAUUCAUUGAUCUGUUUCUUCAACUUCUUCAUCUCAACAUGACUCAUCCGGUAAGGAAUAAUCGAAAUAGGCUGGGUGUCUGGCUAAAGGUCUAUUGUAAAUUUGACUUCUCUGCCCACUGGCAGUUCAGGUAGUUCAUUCAGGAACACAUUCGAAAAGUCUU